GGCCUCUUGCGCCUCUUCCCGCGGCGCGGGGUUGGAGGUCCCGUGUCCAGGCCCAACCCGCUGAGCACGAGGGGGCCGCGGCAGGGCCAGGGCCAGGCGCAGGGCCCCGCCCCCAGGCUCGGGGCUGUGGUCGCUGUCCCCUGCUGGUGUCCGCGCGGGCGUGGGAGGUGGGGACAGCCGUGCCCUCAGUCCAUGUCCCUGGCCGCCGCUAGGCCGCAGGGUCGCGCCCGCGCAGAGCCGCCCGGCCGCGGCCCCACCCCCUUCGCCCGGGUGACGCGUCCCCGGUUGCCACGGAGACGCGCCGUUUGCCUGGCGGUUCUGCCGGAGCUGCAGGUGGGGUGCGGGCGCCCCGGCGAACGUGUGGUCCGUGGUUCCCGCAGGCGCCGCGGACUUUGGAAAGCCGACAUGGCCAAACUACUACAGCCUCCACCCAAGUUCUUGCCCUCAGAGUGGCACAUCGCUAACAAGAACCAGUACCACAGAGCCGAGGCCCAGAGGUCCCGGUCCGAACGCCUGGUGGCAGAGAGCCAGAGGCUUGUGGACGAGAUUGAAAAGACCACAAGGAAGUCUCAAAGCGAUGUAGACAAGAAGCUAGAACAGAGACUCGAGGAAGUCAGGUUCUGGAAGAAGGAGCUGGACAACAAGCUCGAGCAGCUGGUGUAUGUCACGGACGACCUGCUCACGUACCAGACCAGACUGGUGAACGCCCUGGAGAGCAUGAAGGAGCCCCUGCAUAUCACCCAGACGUGCCUGGAAUACAGGGAGAAGCGGGUCGGCAUCGACCUGGUGCGCGAUGAAGUGGAGCAGGAGCUGGUGAAGGAGGCCGAGAUCAUCCGCGGGGUGAUGGCGCUGCUGACCCGCACCUUGGAGGAGGUGUCCGAGCAGAUCAGGCUGAACCGCUCGGCCAAGUACAACCUGGAGAAGGACCUGAAGGACAAGUUUGUGGCCCUGACCAUCGAUGACGUCUGCUUCUCCCUCAACAACAACUCCCCAAACAUCCACUACUCGGAGAAGGCUGUGAGGGUUGAGCCACACUCCGUGAGCCUGGAAGACUGGCUGGACUUCUCCAACAGCAACGUGGAGAAGGCCGACAGGCAGAGGAACAACUCACUGGCACUGAAGGCCCUGGUGGACCGGAUCCUGUCGCAAACGGCCAGCGACCUGUGCAGGCAGUGUGACGUGGUGGACACUGCAUUCAGGACCGGGCUGAAAGAGACCAAGGCUGCCAGGGACCAGCUGGCCGCCCACCUGGCCAAGGUCAUGGAAGAGAUUGCUUGCCAGGAGAAAAACAUCUCCGUUCUCGAAAAGGCCAUCCUUGACCAAGAGGGGCCUGCCAAGGUGGCUCACACGCGCCUGGAGACCAGAACACACCGGCCUAACGUGGAGCUGUGCCGCGACGUCGCGCAGUACCGGCUGCUCAAGGAGGCUGAAGGAAGCCUUAGCCCAGGCUCAGGUGGAGCUGAAGGGCCUGAACCGCAGGCAGCUGGCCCUGCAGGAGGAGAUCCAGGUCAAGGAGAACACCAUCUAUAUCGACGAAGUGCUGUGCACGCACAUGAGGAAGUCCAUCCCGCUGCGGGACGGGGGCGACCAGGGCGAGGGGGCCGGCGGCCUCUGCCCCGACGCCAUCUGCUGACAGCACCUGUGGGCCAGAGGCUGAUUAAACCAUGUUACGGUCAGGCGCGCACGGUUCUCAUUUCAGGGAGGCCCACUGCAGGCGGGGCCUUGAGCCGCGGGUGGGGUUUGGGGGGCUGGCUCCAGGCUGCCGGUGGGCAGUACUGGUGUGAGUGGCUCCCGCGUAUCCCCGCGUCUGUCCACGCAGGCCAUUCCUCCACGUGAUGGACUUGCGGCCUGCGGGGGAAGGGCAGCAGGCCAGCACCUUUCCUUCAGAUUCCGUGGAGUGGGGGUCUGGAUCCCCUCUUUGCUCUGGCCCGUCUUCCUCGUCACAGGCACCAGACCUCUCUCGGCUCCCCUAACUCCUCUUCCCUAGGAAACCAUGUGGGCGAUGCUGACUCGGAUCCCCCUUCAAGUCUUAGAGCAGAUGGGAGCCCUGAGCCCCCAAGAGCCUGCCCGGCAGGCUCUUUGCUGGGAGAAGUGAAGAGGACACAUGGGGCCAGAGGGCCAUCUGGCUCCCAGGAAGUCAGCCGAGCCGUGGGGCUUGAGCAGGUGGGCCAGGCUGCUGCUGUCUGAGGUCUUGGGGUGCAGGGCGGGAGAUGCUCUGGUUCACCAGUGGGCGCAUGUCAGCUGCAGGUGGGGGUGGCUCAGGGCACGUGGGUCCCAGCGGCUGUGGUGUCAGGACUGCCGGCUGGCGGCCGGCGAGGGGCCGGAGGGGAAGGGAGGCACCUCCUUCAGCACCAGGAGGGUACGGGGAGGAUAAUCAUUGGGAGUAUUUUUCUUUCUUCAUUCUCAAGUAACUAGAGUCAAAGAGAAAAACACCCUCCCAUUCCUGCCGCGAAUUCAGGCAGAAAGCUUGGCUCUUGAGAACUCGGCCUCACUCAGCCGCGUCUCUAAGCUACGCAGUGAACGGAGGUUUUCACUGAUUCUUCCCAGCUCUCUGCUUCACACACUUGCAGAGUCGACUGCAAAUCUCCUUGUCGCAGGAGAUGGUCAGCGGAGAUGACGAGAGUGGCUGUGGACUCAGGCUGGCUUUGACACACUUGCUUCCCGCACCUUCUGAGACACUGACCUUGGGCGGGUUCACCUUGCUAAGCCCUGUUUGCUUAGCACUGAAAGAGGGGUGACAGUCUCCACCUGCCAGAGCCGAUGUGAGUGUUCAGGGAGGCUGUGCCCAACACCCCGCAUGCACGGAGCGCUCAGCCAGCCGCCACUUCUGCGGACCCUGCCACGAACCCUGCCAUGUCAGCGCUGGGGGGGAGGAAGGGUCCCACGUGCUGAACCAGGGACUGUGGCGUGGGCUCUGCUAACCCGCGGAAAGCCGCCCCCUUUUCUGCGUCUGUUUCCUCAUUAAACAACACAAAAGCCAACAUCUAUGGAACACCCAGGGAAGGUUUAUGCACAGAGGAACACGUAUUAAAUUCCCAUUCCCCACGAUGGACUGCAUGGGGCCUGCGGUCCCUUCUCCACGUGCAACAGAGAGGCUGGCGCCCAGGGAGGCGGAGACGCGCCCAAGUGACAAAUGCGGUCGUGGACACUUAGGUUCAGGGUCUGGGACCCCGUCCCAGCUUUAUUUGUGUGUUAGGGACCUUAGCAACUAACUCCUGAAUGGGGCGCAGAACUCGGGGUCACAGCAGUCAGCGUGGUUUCCGGACCCUUCAGACCAGAGAGUUGAAGGCCCCUCUCUGACAGUCUUUUCAAAAACAAAAACUGCCCGUUGGUUGUAACCUUGCCUGUGGGCAGUGGUGUGGUGCCUCCGGGGACCGCGGCCCCACUCUCCUCACCCGGCUGGAAAUUCAGAGGCAGUGGCCCCCAUCACUGUCCCCAGGGCUGCUUCCCCUCCCCCAGCAGCCGAGAGGAGGCACCAGUGCAUCAGAACACGUAUCCUGCUCAUCCACAGGGUCAAGGGCAUGCCGAGGUUCUGUGUGUUUCCACGCAGAACCCGGUGCUAUUUGCAGACCCACAGCCGGGCGGGGCUCCUGGGAGACGGACGGGCGUGGACAAGAGUCUGUGGCCCACGGAGGUCACAAGUCUGUGGCUGUCUUUAUCUACCACUGGGUUUACAGACCUCGUGUGUACGGCAUUUUCCCAGGGGACUCGCCUGCACUGGGUCCUGCUUCCGCUCCCCGGUUGGGGGAGUCUCCGUGUCCUCCAGACCUGUGGUCAGGGGAUCCACGAGUCAAACUAUUUUAACAAUACCAAGACAUCACGUGGGUUUUCACUCCUUCUCUGGAGUUUUCCGGAGGCUGCACGGUGUGCGACCCUGGAACGGACUGCAGAAGCAGGGAGGUCUGCUAUCCAGCCAGACGUGAGAUUGUCAACACCGGACACCGAGCCCACACUUCUGCGGAAAGCACGUCGGUAAAAUGUUGACAUGCUUUCUGUGAGAGAGUCUGCUACACUCGGAUUCCGCGUUUGGAGAUGAAACUAACCAGAACUGGUCCACGCCAAGAAGAAAUCCUGCCAAUCAGUCCAUCAGCCAACCAACCAGCGUCCCAGGUGGUCUGCAUUCCAGCUGAGGCUCCCCCUCACCUCAGCGGGCACAUGCCUCUCUGGCUCCCAAGGCCCUUACCACGCGGGGACCCCAUCCCCUCACCCAUGUUGGUCUGUCCCGAAUGCCGGUGAGACAGGAACCACAGGCCCCGAUAGCGUGCAGGGCGUUCCGAUGAGGCCGUGCACGUGCUGGGAGCUGGGAGCACUGGCUGAACAGAGACUCUGACGGAGGCCCAAAGCACUGAGCGUAAGCGCAGACGCAGCAUACAAACCAAGUCUGCAAUGAGACGCUUGUCAAAGGUAUUCUGAAGUCUCGUUCAUUUAGGUCUAUUGAAAAACCCCCGUAUGCAACUCUGUGCACCAAACUCUCCAAAGACCCCGAGCGACCCAUGUCCUCUGUCGGCACGGGCUCGAAAAUUCGUUAUUACCUCUCAUUUAAAGCUCGGGAUUCCCUCCCCACCCCUGAUGAUACAAACAACACAAAGCGUAAACAGGAAAAGAGAAACUGUCGCCAGGAGACCACGGUUAGCAUGUUUGGUGGAGCUCUCUGUGCUUCCAAACAAGCCCACAAAUGUGUUCUGCGUGGUGAU